rnacentral:lncRNA from 1 species
AUGCUAAAACAGACCUUGCAGGUUGAAGAUGUGGCUGGGGAAGAAGCCACAGGAGCUGUAGAAGUCAACAAAAUCUUUUCAGACCAAAAAGAAGAACCUACUUCAUCCAGUUGGCUUCAGUGCCCUGUGAGAAGCCUUCCUGAUUGAUGGAAAGAUGAGGCUAAAUUCUAGCAAGUUGAGUGGCUCCUUCAAGAAGCCUGUGUGCAGGAUAGAAGUGGAGAGGCCAUAGCCUCCAGCCUGGGCAGCCCAUUGGCACCUGGAGCCACCUCAACUUUGCCUCCCCUUUGCUCCUGUGUCUAUAAGCUGCCCAGCCCAGCCCAUCCUGGUUUCUCCUGUGUGUUCUGAGCUGAGAUUUCUCUGAGAUGGAAGCCCCAUCCCAUGUCUAAUAAAGACUCUUGAAUACUGAACA